UACGAAGGGGGCUAGCGUUGUUCGGAAUUACUGGGCGUAAAGCGCACGUCGGCGGCUCUUUAAGUCGGGGGUGAAAUCCUGGAGCUCAACUCCAGAACUGCCUUCGAUACUGAAGAGCUCGAGUCCGGGAGAGGUGAGUGGAACUGCGAGUGUAGAGGUGAAAUUCGUAGAUAUUCGCAAGAACACCAGUGGCGAAGGCGGCUCACUGGCACGGUACUGACGCUGAGGUGCGAAAGCGUGGGGAGCAAACAGG
rnacentral:rRNA from 1 species